AAAAUAAAACGCCUUUCCUCUCUUCAGGCGGGCUCCUGACUUCAACAACAACUUUGAAAAUAAAAUGUCAUUCCUUUAUUUAGGUUGGCGAGAUUUCAAAAAAUAAAACGUCUUUCCUCUCUUCAGGCAGGAUCCUGACUUCAACAUCAACUUUGAAAAUAAAAUGUCAUUCCUUUCUUUAGGCUGGCGAGAUUUCAACAACUUUUAAAAAUAAAACGCCUUUCCUUUCUUCAGGCGGGCUCCUGACCUCAACAACUUCGAAAAUAAAAUGUCAUUCCUCUCUUCAGGCGGGCUCCUGACCUCAACAACAACUUUGAAAAAUAAAUCGCCUUUCCUUUCUUUAGGCUGGCGAGAUUUCAACAACUUUUAAAAAUAAAAUGCCUUUCCUCUCUUCAGGCGGGCUCCUGACUUCAACAACUUUGAAAAUAAAAUGCCAUUCCUUUCUUUAGGCUGGCAAGAUUUCAAC
rnacentral:lncRNA from 1 species